rnacentral:rRNA from 1 species
CUACGGGAUGCAGCAGUGAGGAAUUUUGCGCAAUGGGGGAAACCCUGACGCAGCAACGCCGCGUGAGUGAUGAAGGCUUUCGAGUCGUAAAGCUCUGUCAAGUGGGAAGAACCUACUAAGUGCCAAUACCACUUAGUACUGACGGUACCACUGAAGGAAGCACCGGCUAACUCCGUGCCAGCAGCCGCGGUAAUACGGGGGGUGCAGGCGUUACUCGGAAUUAUUGGGCGUAAAGGGCGCGCAGGCGGCCAGGUAAGUCAGAUGUGAAAGCCCGGGGCUCAACCCCGGAAGUGCAUUUGAAACUACUUGGCUUGAGUAUGGGAGAGGGAAGUGGAAUUCCUGGUGUAGAGGUGAAAUUCGUAGAUAUCAGGAGGAACACCGGUGGCGAAGGCGACUUCCUGGACCAAUACUGACGCUGAGGCGCGAAGGCGUGGGUAGCAAACAGGAUUAGAUACCCCAGUAGUC